GAUGAACGCUAGCGAUAGGCUUAACACAUGCAAGUCGAGGGGCAGCAUAGGGAUAGUUUACUAUUCUUGAUGGCGACCGGCGCACGGGUGAGUAACGCGUAUGCAAUCUACCUCUUACAAAGGGAUAGCCCGGAGAAAUUCGGAUUAAUACCUUAUAGUAAUAAUUAAUCGCAUGAUUAGUUAUUUAAAGAUUCAUCGGUAAGAGAUGAGCAUGCGUUCCAUUAGUUAGUUGGUAAGGUAACGGCUUACCAAGGCAUCGAUGGAUAGGGGAACUGAGAGGUUUACUCCCCCACACUGGAACUGAGACACGGACCAGACUCCUACGGGAGGCAGCAGUGAGGAAUAUUGGUCAAUGGACGAGAGUCUGAACCAGCCAAGUCGCGUGAAGGAUGACUGCCCUACGGGUUNUAAACUUCUUUUGUGUAGGAAUAAAAGUAUCACGUGUGAUAUGUCGCAAGUACUACACGAAUAAGCAUCGGCUAACUCCGUGCCAGCA
rnacentral:rRNA from 1 species